rnacentral:rRNA from 1 species
UACAGAGGUCUCAAGCGUUGUUCGGAUUCAUUGGCGUAAAGGGCGCGUAGGCUGCGGGGCAAGUCGGGUGUGAAAUCUCAGAGCUCAACUCUGAAACUGCACUCGAUACUGCUUUGCUCGAGGACUGGAGAGGAGAUUGGAAUUCACGGUGUAGCAGUGAAAUGCGUAGAUAUCGUGAGGAAGACCAGUGGCGAAGGCGGAUCUCUGGACAGUUCCUGACGCUGAGGCACGAAGGUCAGGGGAGCAAACGGG